rnacentral:rRNA from 1 species
GACGAACGCUGGCGGCGUGCUUAACACAUGCAAGUCGAACGGAAAGGCCCUGCUUGCAGGGUACUCGAGUGGCGAACGGGUGAGUAACACGUGGGUGAUCUGCCCUGCACUUCGGGAUAAGCCUGGGAAACUGGGUCUAAUACCGGAUAGGAGCCAUUUUUAGUGUGAUGGUUGGAAAGUUUUUUCGGUGUAGGAUGAGCUCGCGGCCUAUCAGCUUGUUGGUGGGGUAAUGGCCUACCAAGGCGGCGACGGGUAGCCGGCCUGAGAGGGUGGACGGCAACAUUGGGACUGAGAUACGGCCCAGACUCCUCCGGGGGGCAGCAGUGGGGAAUAUUGCACAAUGGGCGCAAGCCUGAUGCAGCGACGCCGCGUGGGGAUGACGGCCUUCGGGUUGUAAACUCCUUUCGCUAGGGACGAAGCUUUUUGUGACGGUACCUAGAGAAGAAGCACCGGCUAACUACGUG